rnacentral:misc_RNA from 1 species
GGCCCCUUUUGGGGCCUUCUUUUUUGCCCUAAGGUUCUAAUGAAGGCUAUGAGACUUGAAACUAUUUUGUAUACAAUUUCAAUCGCUCCUUCGAGCCCUUACAUUAAGAUGGCAAGAGGACCCUCAACACAUGGAAAUCGACGAUGAAGGCCUUUCUCCCUAUGGAAUUGGACAAGGUUUCAAAAAUAGCUUUGUUGAUCACUUUAAGGCGCCAUAAGGAUUCUAGAACUCUAUGCCCUCUCGCUGUGAUGCAUGGAAAUAGGAGGGGGCAGUGUUUCUUCAUUCUAGAAACAUUUCCCUAUCGAAAACAUGAAGACACGACAAAGAUAGGUCUCCAAGCCAUUUCU